rnacentral:rRNA from 1 species
UUCGGAACACGAACGACUCUCGGCAACGGAUAUCUCGGCUCUCGCAUCGAUGAAGAACGUAGCGAAAUGCGAUACUUGGUGUGAAUUGCAGAAUCCCGUGAACCAUCGAGUCUUUGAACGCAAGUUGCGCCCGAAGCCACUAGGCCGAGGGCACGCCUGCCUGGGCGUCACGC